AUUGAACGCUGGCGGCAGGCUUAACACAUUCAAGUCGAGCGAGCGGCGGACGGGUGAGUAAUGUCUGGGCAACUGCCUGCUGGAGGGGGAUAUCUACUGGACACGGUAGCUCAUACCGCAUACCAUCAGAUGUGCCCAGAUGGGAUUAGCUAGUAGGUGGGGUAAUGGCUCACCUAGGCGACGAUCCCUAGCUGGUCUUAGAGGAUGACCAGCCACACGGGAACUGAGACACGGUCCAGACUCCUACGGGAGGCAGCAGUGGGGAAUAUUGCACAAUGGGCACAAGCCUGAUGCAGCCAUGCCGCGUGUGUGAAGAAGGCCUGCGGGUUGUAAAGCACUGUCAGCGAGGAGGCGUUACUCGCAGAAGAAGCACCGGCUAACUCCGUGCCAGCAGCCGCGGUAAUUC
rnacentral:rRNA from 1 species